rnacentral:miRNA from 1 species
GGGUUUUCUUUUUAUGUUU